rnacentral:rRNA from 1 species
CCGCGAAUUCGCCCUUCGGGGCGCAGCAGGCGCGAAAACUUUGCAAUAGGCGAAAGCCUGACAGGGCUAUCCCGAGUGCCAUCCGCUGAGGAAGGCUUUUACCCAGUCUAGAACGCUGGGGGAAUAAGGAGAGGGCAAGUCUGGUGUCAGCCGCCGCGGUAAUACCAGCUCUUCGAGUGGUGUGGAUGUUUAUUGGGCCUAAAGCAUCCGUAGCUGGCUAAGUUAGUCCCUUGUUAAAUCCACCGAAUUAAUCGUUGGAUCGCGGGGGAUACUGCUUGGCUAGGGGACGAGAGAGGCAGACGGUAUUUUCGGGGUAGGGGUGAAAUCCUAUAAUCCCGGGAAGACCACCAGUGGCGAAGGCUGUCUGCUAGAACGCGCCCGACGGUGAGGGAUGAAAGCUGGGGGAGCGAACCGGAUUAGAUACCCGGGUAGUCCCAGCUGUAAACGAUGCAGACUAGGUGUUUGAACGGCCACGUGCCGUUCUAGUGCCGCAGGGAAGCUGUUAAGUCUGCCGCCUGGGGAGUACGAUCGCAAGAUUGAAACUUAAAGGAAUUGGCGGGGGAGCA